AGCAUUGGCUGAGACCUCCAGCACCAUAACUUGUAGAACCGCAGAUCAAGGCACUUUCAGGAUUCACAUUCAGCUACAGUUUUCUCGUCUUCUAAAUUUGAAUCGUUCUUGGACAUAAAGUGGUUUAUAAUACUAAAAAAAUUUUUUAAAUAAAAAAUGAAUAAAUUUGGAUAAUAGUAGCACUUACUUUACAGGGCUGUUGUAAAUAUUAUAUAAGACACUGCAUGUAAAAGGCUAAAUGUAUUAGUUGUUGUUGUUAUUGCUCUUACAUAGCAAUUACCAACACAUGCUCAUUACCCACCCAAUCAAUAUCAUUUUCCUGUUUAGAAAUAGCACAUACUAAGGACCGUAGCUACCAACACUGCUCACUGUAUCUUCUAGAAGAGUCAACCAGUAUCCUGGAAUCUCUCAGAAGGAAUUAUGAGAAGGCUGAUAUAAGAUGACCCUCAUUUCACCAACAAAGAAGUGGCUCAAGUAAGUUAAUGUCCCAAAUGCUACAGAUAACUAAUAGCAGUUCUGAUACUAAAACCCUUGGCUUGUAGUUAAGAAAAAUUUAUGAUAAAUAAAUAGAUGGUGGAUAAAUGAUAGGUAGAUAGAUAGACAGACAGAUAGAUAGGUGUAAAGAGAUAGGGGUAGAAAAGAUUGAUGUUAAAACUGAACCCUACAAUUCUCCCAGCUUAUUUCCUAGAAAGAGUUUUCAGGCUGUGGCACAGAGAGGGAGACCCAGGCAGAGUCCGCCAGUCUUCCUGAGCUGAGGAGAUAAAACUGGGGGUCCAAGGAAGCCAAGGCAACUGGAGUUCACAGAGCACAGUACCAGAGAGGACAGAAUUGCAGACAGAACUUCAGAGAUCUGGAGUGACAAGAUGUCACUGCACAUCCAUCAGAAUGGCUAAAAGAAUAAAUAGCGCAAAUACCAACUGCCGGCAAGGAGGCAGAGAAACUGGGUACACGCAUACAUUAAUGGUGAAAAUAUAAAUGUUAUGGCCACUCUGUAAAACAGUUUGUCAGAUUCCUUUUUUUACUGAUACAUAAUAGUUGUACAUAUUUGUGGGGUUUUGAUACAUUCAUACAAUGUUCGAUAAUCAAGUCAGAGUAAUUGGGAUAUCCAUUACCUCAAGCAUUUAUCAUGUCUUUGUGUUGAGAACAUUCCAAAUCUUCUAAUCAUUUUGAAAUAUACAAUAAAUUAUUGAUAACUAUGGUCAUCCUGCUGUGCUAUUGAACACUGUAACUUAUUCCUUCUGUCUAACUGUGUAUGCUUACCAUACAACCCAGCAAUUGCACUCCUUGGCAUUUAACCCAGAGAAAUGAAAACAUAUGUUCACAUAAAAACCUGUACAGAAAUAAAAUAGCAGUUUUCUUCAUAAUAUUCAAAACCUGGAAACCAUCCAAAUGUUCUUCAAUGGGUGAUGCAUUAAGCAAACCAUGGUACAUGUACCAUGGAAUAUGACUCAGCAGUAAAAAGGAAUGAACUAUUGAUACACACAAUAAAUUAGAUACAUCUCAAGGGCAUUAUGCUAAAUGAAAAAAAUGUAUCAUCAAGCAGCCAUGUACUGUAUGAUUCCAUUUACAUAACAUGGAGAACAGAUUCAUAGUUGCAGGGUCAAGGAUCAUGGGGAUAGGGAUAUACGCGUGACUACAAAGAGGUAUCACCAGGGAGAUCCUUGUGGUGAUGGAAUAGUUCUGUAUCUUGAUUGCAGUGGUGGUUACAGGAAUAAACACACAAUAAAAUGACUUGUAACUACACACACACACACACACACACACACACACACCACACUAAUGUUUAUUUCCUGGUUUUGAUAUUGUACUCUUUAAGUGAGAUAUAACCACUGGGGAAAACUGUUGACAGGUACAUGGGGACUCUCUGUACCAUCUUUGCAACUUUCUGUGA
rnacentral:lncRNA from 10 species